rnacentral:lncRNA from 1 species
UGGAGACGAAGCGACACUAUGCGUGUAGCUGGCAGAGCGGAGUAACUGAGUGAGUGGGGUGUUUGCCUUGGCCGAGGGUGUUGCGUGUGUGUGGAGAGGGAGAGGGUAGCUGGGUGUAUUUAUAGCUGGGUGUAUGUGGUGUAGCUCAGUGAAGUUCACUAUUGGUGAGAAUAGUGACGAAAGAAUCGUCUGACUUAAUAUGAACAAGAGAGUUAUAGGCAGAAUAUGGGACGAGAGUAUUUUGGGAUUUUUCUGGAACAUGAACCAUGCUUAAGGGAUGGCAUGGUUGGAUAGGGAAUAGUUUGAUAAGAAUUUAGAAACGAGAAUUAUUGGAAUCUGAGUUUGGAAGCCUGGUUCGAAGGAAUCUCAAGUUAAGCGUGCUCAACUUGGAGAAACCUAGGAUGGGUGACCAGAUUGGAAGUUCCCUACUGGAAUGAACAUCACAGUCAUCGGAGUUCGUAUGACUGGAAUAUGGGUCUGGCUGGUCUUAGGUGGACUGGACAGCAUGAUGGAUGAGUGGUUGAAAUUUGGGGUAAUCGGAUGAUCGAUGAAUAAUAACGGUAAAAAGUAACAGUAAAAAGUAACGGUAAAAAUUAACGGUAAAAAGUAACGGUAAACGGUAAAAAGUAAC